CCGGUGGCUCAGUUGGUUAGAGCGCCGCCCUGUCACGGCGGAGGUCAUGGGUUCGAACCCCAUUCG
rnacentral:tRNA from 1 species